AUUGAACGCUGGCGGCAGGCUUCACACAUGCAAGUCGAGCGGUAGCACAGGGGAGCUUGCUCCCUGGGUGACGAGCGGCGGACGGGUGAGUAAUGUCUGGGAAACUGCCUGAUGGAGGGGGAUAACUACUGGAAACGGUAGCUAAUACCGCAUAACGUCGCAAGACCAAAGAGGGGGACCUUCGGGCCUCUUGCCAUCAGAUGUGCCCAGAUGGGAUUAGCUAGUAGGUGGGGUAAUGGCUCACCUAGGCGACGAUCCCUAGCUGGUCUGAGAGGAUGACCAGCCACACUGGAACUGAGACACGGUCCAGACUCCUACGGGAGGCAGCAGUGGGGAAUAUUGCACAAUGGGCGCAAGCCUGAUGCAGCCAUGCCGCGUGUGUGAAGAAGGCCUUCGGGUUGUAAAGCACUUUCAGCGAGGAGGAAGGUGGUGAACUUAAUACGUUCAUCAAUUGACGUUACUCGCAGAAGAAGCACCGGCUAACUCCGUG
rnacentral:rRNA from 1 species